rnacentral:rRNA from 1 species
CCUACGGGAGGCAGCAGUGAGGAAUAUUCGUCAAUGGGCGCGAGCCUGAACCAGCCAAGUAGCGUGAAGGAUGACUGCCCUACGGGUUGUAAACUUCUUUUAUAAAGGAAUAAAGUGAGGCACGUGUGCCUUUUUGUAUGUACUUUAUGAAUAAGGAUCGGCUAACUCCGUUCCAGCAGCCGCGGUAAUACGGAGGAUCCGAGCGUUAUCCGGAUUUAUUGGGUUUAAAGGGAGCGUAGAUGGGUUGUUAAGUCAGUUGUGAAAGUUUGCGGCUCAACCGGAAAAGUGCAAUUGAUACUGGCAGUCUUGAGUACAGUUGAGGUAGGCGGAAUUCGUGGUGUAGCGGUGAAAUGCUUAGAUAUAACGAAGAACUCCGAUUGCGAAGGCAGCUUACUAAACUGUAACUGACAUUGAUGCUCGAAAGUGUGGGUAGCAAACAGGAUUAGAUACCCGAGUAGUC